rnacentral:tRNA from 1 species
GCGGCUAUCGUCUAGUGGUUAGGACCUCUGGUUUUCAUCCAGGUAACCGGAGUUCGAUUCUCCGUAGCCGUACCA